rnacentral:rRNA from 1 species
GAUGAACGCUGGCGGCGUGCCUAAUACAUGCAAGUCGAGCGAACGGACGAGAAGCUUGCUUCUCUGAUGUUAGCGGCGGACGGGUGAGUAACACGUGGAUAACCUAACUAUAAGACUGGGAUAACGUCGGGAAACCGGAGCUAAUACCGGAUAAUAUUUUGAACCGCAUUGUUCAAAAGUGAAAGACGGUCUUGCUGUCACUUAUAGAUGGAUCCGCGCUGCAUUAGUUAGUUGGUAAGGUAACUGCUUACCAAGGCAACGAUGCAUAGCCGACCUGAGAGGGUGAUUCGCUACACUGGAUCUGAGACACGUCCCCGACUCUUACGGGAGGCCGCAGUAGGGACUCCUCCGCGAUGCGCGAAAGCCUGAUGUAGCAACGUCGCGUGAGUCAUGAACCUCUUAGGAUCGUAAAACUAUGUUAUUCGGGAAGAACAUAUGUGUAAGUACCCGUGCUCAUCUUGACGGUACCUAAUCAGAAAGCUCCGGCUAACUACGUG